GGUUCAGUAGCUCAGUUGGAUAGAGCAGCGGCCUUCUAAGCCGUGGGUCGGGGGUUCGAAUCCCUCCUGGAGCACCA
rnacentral:tRNA from 1 species